rnacentral:rRNA from 1 species
GAUGAACGCUGGCGGCGUGCCUAACACAUGCAAGUCGAACGAAGCGCUUUAAAUAGAUUUCUUCGGAAUGAAGUUUUUUGUGACUUAGUGGCGGACGGGUGAGUAACGCGUGGGUAACCUGCCCAGUACUGGGGGACAACAGUUGGAAACGACUGCUAAUACCGCAUAAGCCUACGGUGUCGCAUGACACAGUAGGAAAAAUUCCGGUGGGACUGGAUGGGCCCGCGUCUGAUUAGCUAGUUGGUAAGGUAAUGGCUUACCAAGGGGACGAUCAGUAGCCGGCUUGAGAGAGUGAACGGCCACAUUGGGACUGAGACACGGCCCAAACUCCUACGGGAGGCAGCAGUGGGGGAUAUUGCUUAAUGGGCGAAAGCCUGAAGCAGCAACGCCGCGUGCGCGAUGAAGGCCUUCGGGUUGUAAAGCGCUUUUAGCUGGGAAGAGGAAGGACGGUACCAGCGGAAUAAGCCUCGGCUAACUACGUGCCAGCCGCCGCAGUAACAC